rnacentral:rRNA from 1 species
GAUGAACGCUGGCGGCGGGCCUAAUACAUGCAAGUCGAGCGAACAGACGAUGAGCUUUCUCCUCUGACGUUAGCGGCUGACGGGUGAGUAACACGUGGAUAACCUACUUAUAUGACUGGGAUAACUUCGGGAAACCAGUUCUAAUACCGGAUAAUAUAUUGAACGGCAUGGAGCAAUAGUGAAAGACGGUUUUGCUGUCACUUAUAGAUGGAUCCGCGCCGCAUUAGCUAGUUGGUAAGGUAACGGCUUACCAAGGCGACGAUGCGUAGCUGACCUGAGAGGGUGAUCAGCCACACUGGAACUGAGACACGGUCCAGACUCCUACGGGAGGCAGCAGUAGGGAAUCUUCGACAAUGGGCGCAAGCCUGACCCAGCAACACCGCGUGAGUGAUGAAGGUCUUCGGAUCGUAAAGCUCUUUUGUUGGGAAAGAACAACUGUGUAAGAAACCAUGGACGUCCUGACGGUACCUAAUCAGAAAGCCACGGCUAACUACGUG